GACUCGUCACACUAUCAUUAACUGAAUCCAUAGGUUAAUGAGGCGAACCGGGGGAACUGAAACAUCUAAGUACCCCGAGGAAAAGAAAUCAACCGAGAUUCCCCCAGUAGCGGCGAGCGAACGGGGAGGAGCCCAGAGCCUGAAUCAGCAUGUGUGUUAGUGGAAGCGUCUGGAAAGGCGCGCGAUACAGGGUGACAGCCCCGUACACAAAAGCGCAUGUGCUGUGAGCUCGAUGAGUAGGGCGGGACACGUGGUAUCCUGUCUGAAUAUGGGGGGACCAUCCUCCAAGGCUAAAUACUCCUGACUGACCGAUAGUGAACCAGUACCGUGAGGGAAAGGCGAAAAGAACCCCGGCGAGGGGAGUGAAAAAGAACCUGAAACCGUGUACGUACAAGCAGUGGGAGCACCCUUUGGGGUGUGACUGCGUACCUUUUGUAUAAUGGGUCAGCGACUUAUAUUCUGUAGCAAGGUUAACCGAAUAGGGGAGCCGGAGGGAAACCGAGUCUUAAUUGGGCGUUAAGUUGCAGGGUAUAGACCCGAAACCCGGUGAUCUAGCCAUGGGCAGGUUGAAGGUUGGGUAACACUAACUGGAGGACCGAACCGACUAAUGUUGAAAAAUUAGCGGAUGACCUGUGGCUGGGGGUGAAAGGCCAAUCAAACCGGGAGAUAGCUGGUUCUCCCCGAAAGCUAUUUAGGUAGCGCCUCGUGAAUUCAUCUCCGGGGGUAGAGCACUGUUUCGGCUAGGGGGCCAUCCCGGCUUACCAACCCGAUGCAAACUGCGAAUACCGGAGAAUGUUAUCACGGGAGACACACGGCGGGUGCUAACGUCCGUCGUGAAGAGGGAAACAACCCAGACCGCCAGCUAAGGUCCCAAAGUCAUGGUUAAGUGGGAAACGAUGUGGGAAGGCCCAGACAGCCAGGAUGUUGGCUUAGAAGCAGCCAUCAUUUAAAGAAAGCGUAAUAGCUCACUGGUCGAGUCGGCCUGCGCGGAAGAUGUAACGGGGCUAAACCAUGCACCGAAGCUGCGGCAGCGACACUCAGGUGUUGUUGGGUAGGGGAGCGUUCUGUAAGCCUGCGAAGGUGGCCUGUGAGGGUUGCUGGAGGUAUCAGAAGUGCGAAUGCUGACAUAAGUAACGAUAAAGCGGGUGAAAAGCCCGCUCGCCGGAAGACCAAGGGUUCCUGUCCAACGUUAAUCGGGGCAGGGUGAGUCGACCCCUAAGGCGAGGCCGAAAGGCGUAGUCGAUGGGAAACGGGUUAAUAUUCCCGUACUUGGUGUUACUGCGAAGGGGGGACGGAGAAGGCUAUGUUGGCCGGGCGACGGUUGUCCCGGUUUAAGCGUGUAGGUGUGUGUUCCAGGUAAAUCCGGUUCACUUUAACACUGAGGCGUGACGACGAGGCACUACGGUGCUGAAGCAACAAAUGCCCUGCUUCCAGGAAAAGCCUCUAAGCAUCAGGUAACAUCAAAUCGUACCCCAAACCGACACAGGUGGUCAGGUAGAGAAUACCAAGGCGCUUGAGAGAACUCGGGUGAAGGAACUAGGCAAAAUGGUGCCGUAACUUCGGGAGAAGGCACGCUGACACGUAGGUGAAGUGAUUUACUCACGGAGCUGAAGUCAGUCGAAGAUACCAGCUGGCUGCAACUGUUUAUUAAAAACACAGCACUGUGCAAACACGAAAGUGGACGUAUACGGUGUGACGCCUGCCCGGUGCCGGAAGGUUAAUUGAUGGGGUCAGCGCAAGCGAAGCUCCUGAUCGAAGCCCCGGUAAACGGCGGCCGUAACUAUAACGGUCCUAAGGUAGCGAAAUUCCUUGUCGGGUAAGUUCCGACCUGCACGAAUGGCGUAAUGAUGGCCAGGCUGUCUCCACCCGAGACUCAGUGAAAUUGAACUCGCUGUGAAGAUGCAGUGUACCCGCGGCAAGACGGAAAGACCCCGUGAACCUUUACUAUAGCUUGACACUGAACAUUGAGCCUUGAUGUGUAGGAUAGGUGGGAGGCUUUGAAGUGUGGACGCCAGUCUGCAUGGAGCCGACCUUGAAAUACCACCCUUUAAUGUUUGAUGUUCUAACGUGGACCCGU
rnacentral:rRNA from 1 species